rnacentral:lncRNA from 10 species
GGACAAACAAAAUUACACUUAAGUUGCUAUGGGACACUCUCUUGCCACAAUGUCACACAAGUGACUCUUUAAAAUACAACUUUCAACCUAGUGUGUGAUUAUUAAUGAGGAUUUGUUAACAAUCUAAACACCAUUUCAGCUGAUUCCUGUCAUAGGUAGGCAUUUAAAAGAUUACCUUGGUUUCUCCUCUUCCAUUUCCAAUUUUUUUCUUUUUUAGAGAUGAGAUCUCACUAUGUCGCCCAGGCUGGUAUUGAACUCCUGAGCUCAAGCAAUCCUCCUGUCUCAGCACCCCCCAAAGUUUUGGGAUUACAGGGAAGAGCCCAAGCAGGCCAAGGAAGGGAAGGCCCAGAAGAAGAAGAGAGGAGACCGCGUGUAGGACCCCUUCCUCUAUACAUCCGCCCUCCAACAAGAACAUCACUGGUGUGCACAGGCAUCCUUGGCAUCUGCAUAAAACGAGUCCCAUUUAAAAACAGAAUGACAAUUAGAACCAGGUAUGAAUAGAGCUGUGCUAUUCUACAAAGAAAAUUUACUUAACUGAUUAACUACUCUGGAUGUGAAGGACUGGCAGGCCACACAAGAGGCAGGCUUCAACUAAAGAAUGACAGAAUUUUGUUUGGAUAUACGAAGCUGAUUGCUGAGAUAGCUCCAAUGCAGAUCACAAAGAUCUGGUUGAAAAGAAAAGGUUUCAUUUCCCUUUCCUUUUUCCUGUGGGUAGCACAGAUCAGGCCUUGAACAAUAAAAUUAAAAGUUUACUAUUAACUUUUCUUAUAGUAAAUUUGAGAUGACCACACAGUUCCUACAGUUUUCAAUAAUUCAGUGAAUUCACUCACUCACUCACUCACUCACUCAAUUCAAAACAACUGUUGAGCCCCUGUUCAGAAUGCACAUGGAGGCUCCUGCCCUGCUGAGCUCCUGCCCUGACAGGGAAGUCGUCAUGAACACAAACGGCCAGGACACAAAGUGCACUGUAGCAGGAACAUCACCCACACUUUGGAGCCCAGAACAAAGCAUCCUGGUGUGGCCAUUUCCCCCCAAGGCACACCUCCUGUGCUGCAGGAAGGGAGCUUCCAAUUAGACCUCUGGCCUGCUCUGAACUGUCCAGGACCUGCUCUUAUUUCGAAAUCUGGGCACAGAGGAACGUGACAUUCUGUGCAUUCAAAGUGAAAUCUAAAUAAGCAAAGCCAAUGAAACAAAAAUGAAAAGACAUAGAAACAUUUCUAAGAUGUUGAGGGCACAGCCAGUCAUGGAGAGGAGAAAAUUCCAGGGAAGAGAAUAGGAAGUAGACGAAGGAAGAACAUAAGGAGAAAACUAUUCAAAGAACAAAUAUCCACCUAAGCUGCCAACACACUUGAGAGGUUUUCUGUUUCUCACAGAGAAUAUCUAAGGCCAAAGGAUUUCUUCAGAAGCACAGAAACUUCAGCUAAGUGGCAUCCAUUUAAAACUUUCUGCUAAUCAGAAAAGAAAUGCAUGCUUAUUGCAGAAAAUUUGGAAAAUACAGAGCCAUAUAAAGAAGAAAAUGCAACUGCAAAUAAAAAUUAAAAGCUUGCUUGGAAAACACAGAGAUACAUAAAACAUACACACACACAGAGUAUCCUUAUCACCCCUUAUCUGAAAUGCGUGGGUCCAGAAGUAUUGUGGAUUUAGGAUAUUUUUUAUCAGAUUUUGAAAUUCUGCAUUAUUUGAGCAUCCCAAAUCCAAAAAUGUGAAAUCCAAAAUGCUCCAAUGAGUAUUUCCUUUGAACAUCAGGUUGGUGCUCAGUAAGUUGCAGAUCCAUCUUGGAGCAUUUCAGAUUUCAAAUUUUUGAAUUUGAGAGGCCCAACCUGUUUAAUCCAACAAUCCAGAGACAAUCACUAUUAAUAUUCUGAUGUGUAUCCUUUGAGUCUCUUUUGUGCGCAUAUAUACAAAGCAAGCAUGAUGUGUACUUUUGCAUAUGAAUGUAUUUGUAUAUAAGUAUGUGCAAGUAUACAUGUGCUCAUAUAUGAACAUGCCAACAGAAAUAUGCCCAUUUUUCUAUUGGUGUGUUAGCAUUUUGACUGAUUGUAUAAUAAUUCUUUAAUACAUAAAGGCAUUAAUCCUUUUUCCUAUAGAUUGUGAUAUUUCCAUCACUGAUGAUUUCAUUGUUAGAUGCAUUUGGACAUGAGUUUUCAUUUUUAGGCAACUUCCUUCAUUGCUUCUACAAACUUACAUGCCCCUUCCCCAUUCUGACACUAAAUAUUCACGUAUACUAUUUCUAGAUGAUUAUGAUUGUAUUUGUUACAUUUACUCUACCACUAGUCAAUCCAUCAGAAAUCUAUCCUGACACAUGGUGGAGGUGACGUUAUCAUUUUAUUUUUUAAGUGAGACUUAAAGUGCUGUGUAUUCUAAUAUAAUGAGCUGCUAUCAAAUGCUGGCUGAUAUAAUUUCAGACCUGGCCUCUUUCUGGUUUGCUUCCAAGGUGUGUUGAAGCAACUCUUUCUUUAAAAAAAAAAAAUCUUUAUUUUUUUGUAGAAAUGGGGGGGGGGGUCUCACUAUGCUGUCCAGGCUGGUCUUGAACUCCUGGGCUCAAGCAAUCCUCCCCACUCAGCCUCCCAAAAUGCUGGGAUUACAGGAGUGAGCCACUGUGCCUAACCUGGAAGCAACUCUAAGAUGUGGGGGUCCACGAUCUAUCUUUAUCAAGGAAAACACAGAAAAAGAUGGGACUGGGCACAGCAGUGCACAGAAGCCACCCUCUACUCUUGUCCUGGUAUCCAUCCCUUCUCCUCCUGGUCAGGCCCAGUGUUCUGGUGCAAGGUGUCACAGUCAGCACAGAGGAGCUGUCAGCACAGACAAGCUAGAAGAUGGCACAGACCCAAGUCAGGGAAGAAACUCAAUCCAGCUGAGCAAAUGAGAACCUACACUCUAGGUGAUAAAAUUGAGAUUGAGGGAAAUCAUGUGGAAAUGGAUCAUAUGCACCAAGAUUAUGUGGAGAGUGUUGGAUCUAAGCCUCCAGUUCAGGCAGUCUGAUUCCAGAGGAUCGCUAUCUUCAGGCAAUCAUUCCAAGGCAUUAACUAUUCUUACAUGGUGACUGCAUCAGAUUAUCCUGAAAUUCAGCUGCCUCCCUAGAUGUCACGGGGCAGCCAGCCAAAAACAUAAGCCACGUAAGCCAAUGCCCAGGGAGGGGGCUGAAAAGAGAGAAAACUCCUAGAAGAAAUCCCACACACACCUGGGAUGAACCAUAAAGAUGGUACGAUCUACAAGAAUAAACUUAGAUAUGGUUGUUAUUAUUAUAGAGGUGGAAAAAAAAAGAGAAAGAAAACAUCUGCACCUACAGUAUGGGUUCAAUUCAGCUCUCAACUGACACAACAGAGCUAGUUGGUGGUACUUUUAUUUAAGGAUUAUAUUUUGCUUUCUUUUACAUACUGUCUAAAUUAACAAAUACUUCUGAUCUUAUGAGAAAUUAUGCAAAUAUCAAUUCUAAAAGGAAAAUUUCUGACUCUUAGGGCAGAAACUCCCAUGACACAAUGUAUGUAGAAAUAAUAUAGCUGAUUGACAAAAUGAGGAUAGAUGCUUCAAAUAGGAAAUUCUAAAAACAUAACACUGCAAAAGAAAAAAAUCCCAAGAGAACUACCAUUAAACAGUAUAUGUGUGGGUCACUAAAGGGACUCUAUUUCAUAUUGAAAAUUAAAUCCUGUGGGAAAUCAACACUAGGCGAAGUACCAACAUGAGCCUUUUUUACAAAAAGAAACAUAAAUUAAGGACCUACCGUCCGUCUGAGAUUUACUGAGGAAUAUUGUGCUGGCCCGAGGAUGAUCUGAAGGAUUGAAUUCCAUGUUCAAAUCUUUAAAGAAAGGAAAAUAAAUUAUAUGAAUAAACCAUCUGAUAACUAAGAGGAAUCAAGAUUGACUCAAUUAUUUUUCAACUUUAAAUUGCUAAUACAUUCAAGGAUUCUGGAAACCUAUAGCUAUUAUGUUAAUAGAUUCUUUUGGUUCAAUUCAGAACACUGCUAUUUAGAAAUAUGAAAGUCAUACAUAAAAAUUAGACAGUUGGCUAGACAUCUAUUAGCCUAAGAAAAACUCCACUUUCUCCUGAAAAAAUUCUGCUCUGCACCCAAUAUACUAUAAAAUAGCAGGACAGAGUUAUGGCAUGUGAUUAAAGAGAGUUAUGUGCUACAACAGAUUCAUCGAAACAUUACAGUCAAGUACAUGGUAGUUCCUUAUUCAAGGUGAUUAAAAUAGGAAUAUCUCAACUCGUUAGGGCGAAUCAGCAUCCACAUACUCUGCUUAAUUAUUUUCUGAAAAAGCAAAACUUGUCCCUUAGAGCAAAAGCUACACAUCGGCCAUUUGUGGACCUAAUCUGGGCCCCAGACAUGUUUUGUUUGAUCCCUACUUUUUAAAAAACAUUUAAGACAACAUAUAAAAAUCAAGAGAUUUCAAACACAUAACACACACACACACACACACACACACACACACACACACACACACACACACACCUAUUUCCAGCUUCCCUUGAGAAAUCAGAUCGUUUGGCAACACUGAGCCCCCACCCCAGUGGACACAACUGGCUGAAGCCAAGCAGCUGUGACCCCUUCACAGUGGCUGUGUCCCUUAUGGGACAUAAGACUCCAGCUCCCCAGUGACCACCCCUCUCUGCUUUACUGGCAGGUCUUCACAAGCAUUUGAUUUUGCAAUCUUAGAACUCUUAGAACAAGCUCCAAGGUCUACAACUUGUCAGGAUGGUAUAAACAACUUAGAAUGCCAUCACAGAAGAGUUUUUCCAGUUUAAAAAACAAAAAACAAAAAACUGAUUCCAUAGAAAAUAAGCAAAACAGAAGAAUUAAGUUAGGGAAGGAAAGAGAUCAAAAUUACUGGAAAGCCAGAAUGGUCUUCAAACCAACUUAGAGAGUCAGAAUAAAACUUCUUGGGUUCAAUUAUUUCAAUAAAUUUGCAGAGAAACCUAAUCAACACUAAGAAAAACAGAAGGGGCUAUCCUUAGUGUUAAUAAUCAAUCAAAGAUAAAGUGAAAGAAAGAAAAGGAUGGUAAAAUAAAUAUACACUGGAGGCAACACCUAAUCACUUAUCCACAAAGAGAUUUAUCCUGAGCAAACUUCUGAAGUGUGGUGAUUUUUUUCCUACAUCAGCCAAUGGCUACUGGGCCAGUUCCUAACUUCUCCCGGAGUACCUGAUUAAAGAAACAUCUAUUGAAUCUUAAACAGAUGCUACUUCAAUUAUCUGAUCCUUCUUGUAUUAUAUAACUUCUGUUAACAUUACACAAUAAUUUCAGAGUCAAAGCUAUUAAGGGGGUUUGAUGGAAGGAGAAAGAUGGGUGGAAGAGACACUGAAUUUUUUGAAUUUGCUUCAAUUUGAACUACAGUUAGUCAAGAAAUUUCAUGGUGAAAAUGACUCUGCAAGGAGGUUUCCUGCUCAACUAGGAUAUAAAAGGGGUUAAAUAACAAAUGCGUUACUAAAUGUUUUGAGGGCUUUUGCAUAUCAAAAUGAGGGCAAAUAUAAAAUCCUAACCAGGAUGGAUGCUUUUAAUGUCCAAGAAACUUAACACAUAGUCCCCUAGAAAAGCAGCAGUGGAAACACAUCAUGCAUGCAGUUCCCACAUGCCAGCAAGGUGACACCAGAAAAUCAAUCCUUGGCCUCAGACAGCAUCUGGACUAGCGACUACUACCUUAUUCCCUUCAUGCCCAACUGAGACUCAUCUACCAGACCAGUUUUCUUUAAGACCCACUUUUAUUACUAAAAUACAUCAGUAGAGGUUUAUGGAACACCACAAUCAAAAAAUGUGAAGCUUUCCUGUUUGGAACCAAAAUAACACAAGACUGUCAUUUCUUGGAGAAUUGAGAUCCUGCUCCUAAGUCCAAGAAUGUCCUGGAAGACAAUCCCCUAACUGCCUGCAGAUUGGGGUUCUAUGCUGUUAUGUUCACAAGCCCUCAAAGUUGUUAAUAAUGGGGAUAUCACAGAUUCUAAGGGACAGCCUCCAAUAAUGGGACACUUUUAAUAGUAAAUAAUAGUACUAUCAUUUGGAUGGUGAAAUGCUAUCAUACCAUCUAAAAAUCACAUGAAGAAUAUUUUAUUGACACGGAAACCGAUGUACCGUAUGUCAUUAGGUGACGAAAGCAUUAUGAUACCCUUUUGGGGGAAAAUAUGUGUAGGCAUAGAAAAUACAUCAAAAGAAUAUACACCAAUAUUUGGUUAUCUUUGAAUAAUGUGAUUGUUUUCUGAGUUUUAUGCACUGUAAACACUUUCAUUGGUUUGUUUUUUUGUUUUUGAGAUGGGGUCUUGCGCUGUCACCCAGGCUGGAGUGCAGUAGUGCAAUCAUGGCUCACUGCAGCCUCAAUUUCUUGGAUUCAAGCGAUCCUCCUGCUUCAGCCUCCUGAGGAGCUGAGACUACAGGCAUGUACCACAAGCCUGGCUAAUUUUUUUAUUUUUUGUAGCUACAGAGUCUUACUGUGUUGCCCAGGCUGGUCUCAAGCUCCUGGGCUCAAGUGAUCCUCCUGCUUCAGCCUCCCAAAGUGCUGGGGGAUUACAGGUAUGAGUCACUGUGCCCAGCCUAUUGGUUUGCUUUUUUUAACUUUUGUUUAAAAACUACUUGUGAAAACUGAUUUGACCCUCUGAGUGGCUGGACUGCCUCUCCAACACAGGGUGGUGUUCCCAGAAGAUGCCCUGAAGCUCUCCCUGAAUUCAGAGGAGAUUCACACAGAGUCACCAAGAUGAGUCUCCCCUCGGCAGUGUCCACUGUCAUAGAAGCUCAGGGUGAAAACUGACCAGCUCAGAGGCACUCCUGAGCGAUGGCACCCUCGCCCUCCACCAGCAGCCCGUGCCUCUCCGCUCCUCCUCAAGAGGGCUGCAGCGAGGAAAGGCGGAAUGACCACUUGUUCUCUGUGGGGGAAGCCAAGCAGCAGGAUUAUGUCUCACACUCUCCCUAUGAAAGGUGAGCACCAAGUGGGAGGCUAAGAAAACCCUGUCACGUUUCCUUCAUGGCCAAGUUAUAACUCUAAGUCUGACAAGAAUGCUCCCUGGGCCACAAGUGGUCCCUAAUGAUGACAGGCCAGGUGUCAUCUCUCCCCAGUGCGGUGACACACAGCAAGUGACUUGCAGAGUUCAGAGACUUCAAGACCAGUGUCUGAUGUGAAAUUCACGGAUGAGGUGAAUACAGGCCAGAUCUUGAAGAAAACUAUGGUAAUUACAAUAUGUGUUCUAUCAUGGGAACUCUACCUCCUUGGGGAACAAAAAAAAAAAGGGGAAAAGCCACCAUUCUCAGAAGCCAAGCAAAAUGAACCUGCUUUAUCACCCUAACUUCACACUGAAGCCAAGCAUGACAAACACUGCAAUUUUAGCCAUGAAGGAAAAAGAUCCCCUCAUUGCAGAGUCAGGAAAAAUGAUAUCCCCAAUGUUUACCAUGAGGUAGAAUACAUCUGGAAGAGCGUAGUGGUUUCAGUUCACCUCUAUGAUGUUUUUCUUUUUUUUUUAUUAUUAUUAUACUUUAAGUUUUAGGGUACAUGUGCACAUUGUGCAGGUUAGUUACAUAUGUAAACAUGUGCCAUGCUGGUGUGCUGCACCCACUAACUCGUCAUCUAGCAUUAGGUAUAUCUCCCAAUGCUAUCCCUCCCCCCCCUCCCCCCACC